GUGCUUGCUUCCUCAGCACAAAUAAUAAAAUUGGAACGCUACAGAGAUAAGCAUGGAUCCAGUGCAAGGGUGACACACACAUCUGCGAACUGUUCCAGACUUAA
ensembl:snRNA Gm24468 U6 spliceosomal RNA